rfam:Acetobacterium woodii DSM 1030, complete genome.
GGGGGUGUAGCUCAGUUGGGAGAGCACCUGCCUUGCAAGCAGGGGGUCAGGAGUUCAAGUCUCCUCAUCUCCA